CAGCAGCCGCGGUAAUACGUAGGUGGCAAGCGUUGUCCGGAAUUAUUGGGCGUAAAGGGCUCGCAGGCGGUUUCUUAAGUCUGAUGUGAAAGCCCCCGGCUCAACCGGGGAGGGUCAUUGGAAACUGGGAAACUUGAGUGCAGAAGAGGAGAGUGGAAUUCCACGUGUAGUGGUGAAAUGCGUAGAGAUGUGGAGGAACACCAGUGGCGAAGGCGACUCUCUGGUCUGUAGCUGACGCUGAGGAGCGAAAGCGUGGGGAGCGAACAGGAUUAGAUACCCGAGUAGUCCCUGUCUCUUAUAC
rnacentral:rRNA from 1 species